GCCAGGCAUGAUGGCUCAUGCCUGUAAUCCCAACUACUGGGGAGGCUGAGGCAGGAGAAUGACUUGAACCCGGGAGGUGGAGGUUGCAGUGAGCCGAGAUCAGGCCACUGCACUCCAGCCUGGGUGACAGAGAGAGACUCUGUCUCAA
rnacentral:SRP_RNA from 1 species